rnacentral:lncRNA from 1 species
CUGUGCUAUUUUUAAAUGAAAUGAAUUUCUUCUUUCUGGCCCUCAUAGGUAUAAUUUGCUUCGUGGCACUGGGGAACAAGAAAAUGAUGUUGCUUUAUGUAAUUCUGGCUCAAGCCCAGUGGUCUGGACCUGAACUAUUGGUAUCUCCGCAGUCUGCCUGUAUACACUUUAAAAAGAUAUUUAUUCCAAUGUCUUUGUAACAGUAGGAAAUCGUAAAGAUGUCAAAUAUAGGAUAAUGAUUAACUGGAUUAUGUACAACUAUGAAAUGAAAAAAUAACAGUAUUAUUAGCAUUAAAUCAUAAAAAACGUAUUAGAAGAAUAAAAAGAUGGUAUAAAGUUAAGUUAAACAAAACGUGAUCACGAGUCAACAAGAUCGUCACAGUGUCUCCAUUUACUACCACGACCAAGUGCAGGACGUGCAGGAGGCCAGAAGUCAUCAACUUUAUUAUGCAGUGACACUCCCUUUGGCCAAAAGGGCCCCAUUUGAACUCCACAGUCUGACCCAUGAACUUUUCAUGGCGGGAGAAGCAGGAGAAAGGAAAGGGAGAGCUAUGAGGGAGGAACCUGCAGUGGCUCAUAUCAAGGAGGCAACUGACUUUGUAAAUUUUGAUUUUAUUUUGUCUUCAAUAUUAAAUAACACAUAGUAAUAUUAGAAUUUGGAAUGUAUUUCUGAGAAUUCACCUUUGUUGAGCCAUAAACAAGGCAUACAGAAUGCAUACCUAGAAUUCCAGAAUGGAGAACUUCUGUGAAACAUUGGCAAAUUCUAGGGCCAACUGAAAUUAUUAACAGAAUAUACUCACCUCAGAAAGACCAUUUUUGAAUGAUUAUCUGAGUCUCCAUAGCAAUACCAGUGACUUAGACUUAAGACAUGUGGGCAAGAGAAAGGCAUUUCUACUGCAAUCAUAUGUCAUUGAACAUAAGAUACCUUAGAUUAUCAAAUACAUCCCAAUUUUAGAUAUGUUAACAUGUGAAAAAAAUCAAUGAAAUAAGUGACUAUAACUGAGAGCUUAGUCUGUAUCGAGUAUCUGAUAUGUAUUCUUUUUAAUAUUCACCACAUUUUACAUGUGGUGUAUCCUGGUAUUUUUAUUUUACACAUUAGGAAAUUAGGAAUUACACAUUAGAUAAUUAGGAAAUUAUAGCACAGAGAAAUUAAGGAACUUAUAUACCAUGUCAUAUAGCCAUUAAGUGCUGGGGCUAGAUUUCCAACCAAUAGCAAUUUGACUUUAUCCAUGAUGCUAUCCUGAUUUCAGAAAUUUUGCAAAUACUUUUUUUCCUUUGGGUGGAAAUAAAGAGCUGUAGAACAUGUGAGGUGUCUUUAUAGAUACCCAACUGUAAAGCCUGGACCAUCAGAGAUAGCUCAAAGUCACUAUUUUGCAACCCCAGGAACUAAUAGAUACAGAUAAUAAUCAUCAAAAGAGAGAUAACGAGACCUUGUGUACUUUCUACUGGAAAUACACAAGACCACCUCUAAAUUAGCCUUAACAACAAUAACGAUAGCAAAAUCACAUCUAAAUUUGACCAGUCUUCUAGAUUUAAGCACCCCUACAUUUCUAAGGAAAUAUAGGAGCUAGAGUAAUCUAUUACCUAUUACUAUGAAAAUGGAGACAGAAAAACCUGGACCACGAGAGUAUGUAUAAGACAGUGUAGUUUCUUCAUAAACCAAUUGCAAGGGGAAAAAUAAGACAUAGAAGGGGUACCUAUUAAAAGCGAUUUAAGAGAUGUCAGUCAAUCACAGUGCAUGAACUUUACUUGUACCCUGAUUCAAAACAAAUUAUUAAAAAAUUGUAAGAUAACU